rnacentral:rRNA from 1 species
GAAGGUAGCAUAAUCACUUGUUCUUUAAAUGGGGACUUGUAUCAACGGCACCACGAGGGUUAGACUGUCUCCUUUUUCAAAUCAGUGAAAUUAAUCUCCCCGUGAAGAAGCGGGGAUACUCAUAUAAGACGAGAAGACCCCAUGGAGCUUCAAACCCAACUACACCCCUAGCUCUUAUAGCCCCACAACCCCCCUAGGCGCCGUGUGCUUGGUUUUAGGUUGGGGCGACCGCGGAGUACAAUAAAACCUCCACAAUGAAUGGGAACACCCCCUUAUCUGAGGGCCACACCCCCUAAGAAUUAGAACACUAACAUAAAAUGAUCCAUUACUUGAUCAAUGAACCAAGUUACCCUGGGGAUAACAGCGCAAUCCAUUUCAAGAGCCCCUAUCGAC